UACGUAGGGGGCAAGCGUUGUCCGGAGUUACUGGGCGUAAAGCGCCCGCAGGCGGUCGCGUCAGUUCGAGGUGACAGCUGCCGGCUUAACCGGCAGAGGACCUGGAAGACGGCGUGACUUGAGGGCCAGAGAGGGACAUGGAACUCCGGGUGGAGUGGUGAAAUGCGUAGAGAUCCGGAAGAACACCAAAGGCGAAGGCAGUGUCCUGGCUGGUACCUGACGCUCGGGGGCGAAAGCGAGGGGAGCGAACGGG
rnacentral:rRNA from 1 species